rnacentral:lncRNA from 1 species
AAUAAUAAAUAUAGUAGACAAUCUGGGAUUCAACUGUCUUCUUAUUAAAGAUACAGAGUACAACACAGUUACAAACAAGGUAGUUCCGAUACGGACUACAAAACAAGGGAAAUGCUAUGCUACCCGCUGCGGGCCCACGAUCACGACCACGGCUCAGUCUUCUGGAUAGUUCACGUAAAGGCGAUCGGUCUUCUCGUCGUACUGCCACGCCAGUUGGGUGCCAUCGGGAUCCUCUGCCUCUGGGGUACCUGUACCU